UACGGAGGGGGCAAGCGUUGUUCGGAUUUACUGGGCGUAAAGGGUGUGUAGGCGGUUGCGCAAGUCUGGUGUGAAAUCUUCACCGCUUAACGGGAAGAGGUCACUGGAAACUGCGUAACUCGAGUAUGGUAGAGGCAAGCGGAAUUCCUGGUGUAGCGGUGGAAUGUGUAGAUAUCAGGAGGAACACCUAAGGCGAAGGCAGCUCGCUGGAACGGUACUGACGCUGAGGCGCGAAAGCGUGGGGAGCAAACAGG
rnacentral:rRNA from 1 species